AAAAUAUUUUUGGGAAGGAAGAUGUUUCAAUCUCCCUCAAAUCUAUGUUGGGGUUUAUUUCUGCUGCCAAGGUCUAAAACAGCUAUGAAGUUGUGUCUUACUAUUUCUUCCAGUGGCCUGCAAUCCACUGGAAACCAUUUCCUCUGUUGUCCAGCAAGCAGUUUAAUUGAGUACUGCAGUACUCUUCUUGAGGCAGUACAAGUUGGGGAAUAAACUCAAGUAAGGGGUCAUGUCCUGUUUAGAAGAAACAAUCAUUUUAAGAGUAAAGAAUUUGUUUUGACUA
rnacentral:lncRNA from 1 species